CACGAACCGGACAAACGUUAUUCGGAAUUAUUGGGCUUAAAGGGUGCGUAGGCGGUGCGGUAAGUGAGGUGUGAAAGCCCUCGGCUCAACCGAGGAAUUGCGCUUCAUACUGCCGUGCUGGAGGGAGACAGAGGUAAGCGGAACUGAUGGUGGAGCGGUGAAAUGCGUUGAUAUCAUCAGGAACACCGGUGGCGAAAGCGGCUUACUGGGUCUCUUCUGACGCUGAGGCACGAAAGCUAGGGUAGCGAACGGGAUUAGAUACCCCGGUAGUCCUAGCCGUAAACGAUGAGCACUUGAUUGAGGGCCCCCCCAUAGGCUCUCGAUCGCAGCGAAAGUGUUAAGUGCUCCGCCUGGGGAGUAUGGUCGCAAGGCUG
rnacentral:rRNA from 1 species